CAAAAAGCACCCCUGUAGAUAUCUGCCCAUCUUCUUUAUGCAUGUUUUUCCUGACCUUUUAUAUGGCUCCCAGCACUGUGUGGGAAUUUGCUGCAACCUGUACCGCCCUAUUUUCUACUUAUGAGUUUUCUUAUCAACGGAUGUACAAAAACCAAAACUUUAAAAUUACAAGGUUCUUCUUUUCCUUUUAGAUGUGUAACUUAACUAACCUGCAUGAAUCUUGGUGUUUUCCAGAAGAUCUUGAACUUACUGUGAAAAAUAUAGCAAAGCGAUGCCCGCUAUGGGAAGAGAAGCAGGUCCUUCCAGCCACCACAUACCUCCACCUGAGCCUGCAGAAUCUGUUCUGUGAUGAUAAAGUGAUGUCGCCAAAUCAUGUGCCAGACCAGGAUGUUUCCCCCAUCUUUCCUCCAUCGGUGAGUGCUCACUCAAAGGGCUGGAUGGCCUAAUGCCCCCACCAGAAGCACCUGCUUCACUGGGGGGUCUUUCACCAUGAGCUCUGCUGGCAUGUUCCAUGAGGAUGUCCCUCACAGCAUGGGAAAGAGAAAUCCACAGCCUGUCCCAGCCCAUGGGUGAAUACAGAGCCCCAGGACUGUUGUGUGCUUCUUGUCACCAAUGCAUGCUGAUGAGACCACCUGACAAGUAUGGGACACCUGUGGGUUUAUUUUAUCAUUGCCUGCUGGUUCUGAAUAAUCUUAGGUUUCAUAUGAACCAGGUUGUCACGUUAACCAAAAGGUGCCACAUGAGAAACAAGAGUAGGAUGCAGGUUAAACUAAUCCAGGUUAUGGAUGUGAAGUCCACACCUGGGGAGAAAAUACAGCUGUCUCCUCUCUACUCAAAGACGAAGGCGGUACUUGUCAGGUGGCUGCAACUUGGUACAAGGUACACAGGACUUUGAAAUUAGGCAGCACUUUGAUCCAAGUGUAUUGUAAUAAGACUGCUAUUUCUUUGGUCUGUUUUGUACUUUAGAUGCAUAUUUUAUAUGUUACAUUCUGGAUUAAAACCAAUUUAUGGACAUGGCUUUGCCUUGGGUCUGCCAUAUUAACUCGCUGCAAAAAUAAAAUACCAGAGGUAUAAUGAGUGAGUUUUCAGAUUGAAGUCACAGAUUCCAAACAAAAUGAGCAGCAGCUUCUAGAUUAGCAUUUUAAUUGUUUGAGCUGGAUCAAUGUGUCCGAUUACUUUAGACCACCAUGCUCCCAUAUGCCUUGAUUUUCACAAAGAUACCUGUUACAGCUUCUCUUAAGCAUCUGGAGGCAGGCAAAUGUAAAGAAAGUAGUAAAAGGAGAACAGUAACUGGGACUGACGUAAAGCCUUUGACUGGUCUUAUAUUUGGGCUGGAUUGAUGUUACUUCUUGAAGCUGUCACAGAAAACAAGACACAAAGGGAUAUGCACACAACUAGGGCAUAGCAACAAUGUCUGAGAGAACUGAGUCACAGAGGGUGAAGGAGUUUACUAAAGUCCUCAUGAAUGCCUGGUGUCACCUCUAAAUAAAUCUCCAAAAUUGCCACUUGAACACAAUGCUACCUGCACAAAAAUGCAGUCAUCUUGAGAAUAUGGACCAAGACCCUCAUGUGCUCUGAACUUCACUACUCCUUGUAUUACAGAGUGAGAAACUAUUCUGCAGGUAAGUGCCAUCUACUCAUAGAUAUCAACAGCUCCCAGUAUCCCUGAUCCGAACACGCUGCUGCAGGAAGAGGGCUGGGGAGCACAGCGGCAGCCCUGUCCUGCAGCAGAGGCUGAGGAGCAGCCUUGUGCUGUUUGCUGACGGCCUCCACUCUGUUCUGCUGGGACUGGCAACAGUGGGGAAGCUACUGCCUGCCUAUUCUGUUACUAGCAUGGAAAUUGUGUAGUUUUAAUUUUUGUUCCUAAGCUCUGUUUAAGUGACCUUAUAGAAGUACCCUGUGUGGGAGUAUAUUUUGUUAACCAACAAGUGAUUUUAAGGACCCUUGAGAUAACUGCAUUUCAUCCUAAUUAUACAAGGAAGUAUGAAGUACAUCCACAACCUUGCUAUGAUUUCAGCUGUAUUGGAAUUUGCUACAGCUUCCUCCUUGCCUUCUUGGGGUAUCGCCUGCACAGUAUCACCUGUGAUCGAUAUAUCUACCAGAAGAAAUUGGGCCUUUUGAGUCAACUGCAACAUCCUACAUAUGUGCAGCACCAGAGACUAAGGGAAGAUGUUUCAGCAACACAAUCCUACAGGCUGAUGUUGCAGACCCUGCAAUCAAACACGAGGCUGUAUUUGGAUGCAACUGUACCAGGUGGCAACAUAUAAUGAAAGGUUCAGUGCUACCAAAAAAUUCAGGAUGAUAAUAAUAAUUAAAGGAGGACUUCAUAAUUUCUCUCAUGGCAAAACUAUGGCCUUUCUGAAGGUGAUGACCAAGUAUUAUUCAUAUUCCAACAGCCACUUGGGAUGCUUGUUUAAAGUCAGGCUAGAGCAGCAUAUAGCUACAUCUAACACUCUGCUUUAUGUAAAGCAGCAGGAAAGCUUCAGUCUGAAUGGGAAGGGAAAAGACACAGCACUGAUUCACUGAAGCUGAAAUCUUCUCUUUGUUAUAUACUGGUUUUCUUCUGAGUGUGUAUGUAUCAUCAUACUGAGAAACUGAAAAACUCUUCUAAAUGUUAUUCAAGUUAAAAUUCUGCUUUUUCAGCACACACACAUGCACAAUCAGAAAAUAUAGCAUGUCUAUUUUUGGAACAUCCCCCAAAUCAUUUCAAGACAACAACUGGGACAACUGUUUUGUUGCUGAGUCACAUAGCGAAGUCUGUUAAGGAGGGACAGUGCAUCACAAUCCACAAAAGGGAUUUAGAAGGUAAAUUAACAAAAAUAGAACAUACUUAAUACUCUGAGAUAAAACUGAGCAUUCAGAACUAUAGCAAAUACUUACUGUAUCUGAAGGUCUUCAGCUGGCUGCAUAAAUUUAUCUUACAGAUAAUCUCCCAAGAUAUACUUUGUGUAGCCAUUCUGCACACUUGCCCCUACUUUACCCUGAAGCAUAUGAAACACUUUUUUUUUUUUUUUUUUUUUUUUUUUUUUAAAGUUAGUCAAUGCUAAGAUGAUAAUAAAACUCAGUUAAGAGCAGAGAACUGUGGAAAUGACAAUAACAUGGAAAGGGCAUUUUAGACUCUUUACUAGUACACCUGCUGUAGAAACACAAAAUAAUAUAAUUCAGAUCACAUCAUUUCCUUUCCUCUGAAACCUCAAACAAUGACUCCUCCACCCAUAGCCCUGCCUGGAGUGCACUGGCCACCCCUGUCCAGGGAUCUCUAACCAACUGACAGCCCAUAUUCAGAAGUCCUAAGCAGGAGAGCUUCUGUCACUGCCUCCCACAGAUUACCUUUUUUAAUAUAUCCCAUCUCCCUGCGACCAGGAAGCCUGACCCACUGAAAAGCUGUUUUGAAAUCUUUCAUUGAUCUUACCAAUAGCUGUAUAUAGAUUCAGAACUUGCCAAAAGAGGAGGAGAAAUAUUAAAUUAUUAAAAAUACAGUGUAGGGUUAAGGAAGAGAAUGAUACCAGUAAUUUAUGUAAUAUUUACCUGCAAUACCAUCAGGUUUAUGUACCCAUAAACUGAACUGUAAUAACUGACCUAAACCUGCAAAUCUUUAAAAGAUUACAAGGUGGACAAAUUCAGGCAGAUACAAUUUAAUCAUUUGAGGCCAGAUUUAACCAAAGGCUGGUUGCUCAGAUUGCUGGUACCUACUCAUGUUUAUAAUGCAUUUGAAUAAAAACAGCUGAAAAAAGUCAGGCUAGAUUUUGCUGCUUGUAAACAUUUAGUAAGAACCUAACUGUAUUCCUUUCUGAGAGAAUUUUAAUUAGCCAUCUUCAUUAGCUCUCCGUUCCAAAAUACAACAUCUAACAUGAAGCCUGACCAAGCACAGCAUGGCACCAUGCUUGGACAUAUGCAAAGCUUUUGCCACUAAAGCUUUCAACUCUUUCUUCCCUUGGAAGCACAUGCUGUAGGUGGCCAGCUCUGCCACCAAGCUUUUUACUGCAGCUGAGGCAGCUUUUGCCAUGUCACACAGGACUGUGGGCAUUUGGCUUUCCUCCAGGGACAGAGAUGUUGGCUCAUGGAGAGAGAGUGGAGGGGACUCAAUGAAGACUGAGUGGGUCUAUUUUCCCUGCUUUUCUUGAUUCAAUGUCAAACUCUCCUUAAAGGUCUUAUAAAGAUAAUUUGGAAACCAAGGAUUAUGAAGCAGAUGGCUUUACACACAAAGCAUUUUUUUUCCCAUCUUCGUGAAAAAUCAGGAAUCACUUGUACGCAUUUCUGCUAACACAUGCAUGUAUUGUCACACAGCUCCUUUCCUCAUGUGCUCUCAUUGAAGAAAAUGGAGCUUCCCGUAUGUUAUAGAGUGAUUCUGGCAUGAAAACUGUUGUCAGAAUUGCAGCUACUUAGGGUGGUGUCAAAAUUUGCUUCUUAAAUGCAACGUUUACCCUAAAACUUUCUUGAAAGCUGUUAAGAAGGUUUAAGAGUUGCAGUUCAUAAUAUAUAAGCAAUACUAUCUUUUGUUGUUGUUGCUAUACUAGAUUUCCAAUUCUUCUAUAUGUAUACCUUGCAUAGGCUAUAUCUGUGAGAUAUCUUUUUCAGCAAUAUUGAUGGGUUGAUGUCUUUUUAUAAAUGUUUUAGAAAAGACCUAGCUGAAUAGUCCUAAAUGAUUAUAUUUAAAACAUAAAAACUAUUGAACUAUAUUUACUUCAUAUAUUUUUAUGGAAAACCUACUUAUUUAAAUACCCUGCACACACCGAAUUUCCUGGUUAUGAAAAAAGUGAAGAAAAAUACUAUUUGCUUUUAGGUAAUCGGAUUCUGUGGGAUCUAAUCCUAUAUCCUAUUUAUGGCUGUGCUAGCUAUUCAAAAUUAAAAUGAACCUUUCAUCCGUGUGUAUCAUAAAUGGGCAUUUAUCAGGAUUAUAUGAUUUUGCAAUCCAUCUGAAUAUGUAACCAGAAUUUGUUUUCUUUCCGUUUCACUAUGUAAUUACCAUGCAACAAUAACAAAAGUGACAUGUUUGAAGAACAGAUAAAAUGCUGUAAAUUGGCCAGUAAUGGUGAUAUUUCCUCAUCUUCUGAAAAACCCAUUUAUUCUCUCUCUCAACAAAUCAAGGCAUUGUCAGCCCAUACUCAUCUUGUGGCCAGAGGGGCCCUACCAAUUUCUAGAUGUAAGUGAAUACUGGAAUGCAGAUGAGGGCUACUAACUAAGGCUUUCAACCCAGGCAGCUGGUCUUAGCUUGCCUCAAUUUCUAAAUCAUCCAUAAUGGGGCCAAGACCUCCGAAGCACUAAAAAGAGCGAGCUGACAUGCUGGACAAACUGUUAAUUUUUUCCUGAAGAAGCUGCUAUAUUGCACAUCUGUCACUGCUGUGCAGACAAUUACUCACCAAGUGGAAAAAAAAUCUGCUGCUUGUUUCUAGCAUAGUUGUUAACGGGUGUAAUGGAGAAACACAAGAGCGUGAGAUCCACUUCAGGACAGCUUCUCCAUGCUUUUCCUUGGUUUGUGAAGUUGUAUUUAAAAAUAAAAAUAUCUGUGCUCUGCAGUCCACAGUGUCUCUCAACUGCUACAAUUAAAACCAUAUAUUAAGUCAGCUGAUAUUGAGUCUAUAGCUAUAUUAGUGAAGUAAGUUGCAAACAUUUUUGUACCUUACCUAAAAUCUGCGUCUCUGAAGUACUUCAUUGUUUGUAACUGACAUAGUAAGGUUUUCAGAGAGCAUCGUUGCAGAAAAAUAACCAAAAUCAACCAACCAAACCAAACCACCCCCCCCCCCCCCAAAAAAAAAAAAAAAAAAAAAA